CAUUAUGCUGUGCAAACAUUGCAACACAUCCGCCUAGAAACCAAGCUGACAUUUCGCCAAAGCAUGGCCCAUUGCACAAGUACAGCUAACCUUGGCUACAUACGUUUUCCACCGUAAACACGUUUUGAUAGCAAGAAAUACGUAUACAGACAUAACUAGCCAACUACAGUACCUAGAUAUGCACGCUUAGUAAUGUUAAAUUACAAAAAAAAAGUGUUUCUGUUUCGCGUAACCCUUUUAUGCAAACAAAGCCAGCGUUACCAGCGGCUCGCUGUGUGGACAGGCGCCGGGGUGUUUGUCACAACACGUGCGGCGGCCAGGGAACAAAACAAUAACAACGCGAGGUCAGACUAUCAUCACCUUUACCUUAGCGGUUCUACCACGACAUAAAAUGUAAAAUACUACCCCAUCUUACAUUCGUGGGAGCUGCAGAGGUGGAGCCCCUCGUCUCUGGAACACCCCAUCAACAAAUACCCCGUUUUUGCCGAGGCAUCGGAGGUAGAAUUCCCCGCUACCGGUCCCAUCUUCACCCGCGGUGAAAAUUUCGAGGUGCCGGCGAGAGAUGAAGCUAGAGUGGCCCAUGCUGACGUCCACCGAGCCCUGUGAUGAGUUCCGUCCGAUGGUCGCCGACCUCUUCUUCAUCAGGUAUUCGAAUUCUCGGCCCUCAAGCCGGGCAACUGCCGACCCCACCGCCAUCUUCUUGGGGGUUCUAAUUUUGAGACUGUGUGGGGGAGAAAUAGGCGCUAAUUAAGGAGCACUGGCUUUAAUUUUGGCAGGGUUUAGAACUGUGGAGAUUUCGUAAAAGGGGAAUCCAAUUGUAAAACCGUUAAGAAUUUGGCUAGGAACGUGCCAGAUCGGGGACACAGCAGUUCCGACACACCGCCGCAACAGAGAGAAAGAGAAAAGACAACAGCCAACCAAUGGAGGCCAAAUGGGAGGAAAGGAGGUGACUGAUAGCUCAACGGCCCAAUCCCUUCAAAGACUGGACCCACGUCACCAGUCCUCAUCUCUACCACCGUAUCUCUAAACCCCAGAAGUAGAGGGUCACUUGGGCAGGAAGUCGUCCACCUCCAGGUUGCCGACGUACCAGAAGAUAAGGCUGAGAAAGAUGAUGAUGGGUCUGGAGAAGACCAAGAGGUCCCAGAACCUGAAGGGAGCAAAGAUGCCCAGGAAGAACAGGAUGAGGCCUGUAGCGUCCAGGAAGAUGGCUACGAAGAAGAAGAGAAGGCAGCGGCCCAGCUGAGUGUCGGUACAGGUGCUGAGUGUCGGUACAGGUAACAAGCCAGUUUCUGGAAUGGAGAUGUAACCCUUGUGCCGGUGUGUAUUCAGCUCGGUUCAGAAUGUUGCAGAUAGGAUUUUCUGUUCUAUUCAUUAUAUUUCUAUCUGUUCUACAUGAUACAUUCUAUAUCGUCUCAGUGUGUGUGUAGGGAAUAUGUUAUCAGUAUAACCAGUGGCAGACAAACAGCUUAGUGCAAGCAAAACAACCCAGACAGGUGUAGCAUUGAUCUGCCAACCAGACACAAACACAAACACGAAUAAAGGAUCUGAGCUAGGGAAGAUGUUUUGAUUUGUUAAUGUCCCUCAAAUGGAUUUAGAAUAUUAUAAUUAUCUAAUUCCUUCUCUCUUUCUGGAACAACAAUUUGUCUGAAUAACACCGACUUCUAGCAGAAGUGGAAUCCAAUAUCUGUGUUGUUGUGCGAGCUAUCCAGUCACAGACGUCUGAUUAAGAACCCAGACAAAUGGCGUUAUUAUUUUCUAAAAAAAAACAUCUUCAAAACGGACCAUGUAAAAUUCAGGACAUAAAAUAAUCUAGUUAUUUAUCCAUUUACAAGUAAAAAUUCACAGACAUUUCUAUCCUUUGUGCAGGGCCCGGAGAUUGCUUCAGCGCGGGGCCUCUCCCUGAAUGAAAGUAGUCUUCUAUAUUUAAAGUGUCUUUAGUUCAUACAGGCGAAAAGGUUUACAGUCUGUAUGGAUUUAAAAAGCAGCGCUUGGGUAGGAGCGGGGCAUACUUUCUUCAAAACCCGAGAACCAGAGAUCACCUGCAACAGAGGAAAAGAGCAAGUGAGAAUGAGAACACCAAGAAGACAAAAACAUCUGAAAGAAAAUAAUGGUUUUAGUCACCUGUAUUUCCUAGCACUGUGUUAUUUCGCAACGUCCCUUCUGGGACAAUAAAGAUUUAUUGAUUCA